UACGUAGGGUGCGAGCGUUAAUCGGAAUUACUGGGCGUAAAGCGUGCGCAGGCGGUUGUGCAAGACCGAUGUGAAAUCCCCGGGCUUAACCUGGGAACUGCAUUGGUGACUGCACGGCUAGAGUGUGUCAGAGGGGGGUAGAAUUCCACGUGUAGCAGUGAAAUGCGUAGAUAUGUGGAGGAAUACCGAUGGCGAAGGCAGCCCCCUGGGAUAACACUGACGCUCAUGCACGAAAGCGUGGGGAGCAAACAGG
rnacentral:rRNA from 1 species